rnacentral:rRNA from 1 species
UACCAAGAGAUCAAGUUAUGUAUAUUAAGGUAAAAAGGCAGUUAAAUACAAGAAUUAAUUAUCAAUUUACUAAUUUCUUAUAGAAAGGUAAAAUUUAGAUAUAAGUGAAUAAUUUAAUGUAAGUUGUUUAGAAAAUUGAAUCUGCGACAGCCUUGAGGGAAACUGGGAUUAGAUACCCCAUUAUUCUUGGCUAUAAAUGAAUAAAGAUUUACCAGAGUACUAUGAAUCAAUUUAAUAAAAUUUAAAACUCAAAGAGCUUGGCGGUGUUUUAGACCUCUCAGGGGAACCUGUCUCAUAAUCGACAAUCCACGUUAAACCUAACCUCUAUUUGCAACUCAGUUUGUAUACCGUCGUCGUCAGGUAACUUUUAAAAAGCAAGAAGUUGGCAAAAAAAUUAUUUAAAUUUAAACGUCAGAUCAAGGUGCAGCCUAUGCAGAGGUGAGGAUGGGUUACAAUUAAAACUUAUAACUACGGAUAGAAUAAUGAAAGUUUUUCUAAUGAAGGAGGACUUGAAAGUAAAAUAAGUUACAUAAAUACUUUGAAUAAGGCUCUGAAACGUGC